AAUUAAUUGUGCCUCCUAAAACACAAAAAUCAUCUGGGGGCGCUGAUCGAAGUUGCAACUUAGCUUGUUCUUGCGCGCGAUGUCGUGGUUUCAAACCCGAGCAGUUACAUCUGCGUCACCUUUUUUUAUUUGCUUAAAUGUAUUUUCAUCAUCUCAUCCGGCCCCACCCUUUUUUUCAUUUAAUUAAAAAAAAAAAAAAGUAGAAGCCCUAAUCUCAUAUGUCUUCUAUGCUACUUCAUCAGAACAUAACAAAAACCCCAUUUCCAAAAAUUUCAAAGUUUCAAACCAAUCUUCACGUACUUCAUCAGAGUUUCGUCGGCAUCUGCAAACUGGAAUUUCUUGUUGAUUCUUGUGAAUUGAAAUGGAUGUAUUUUUGAAGAAAUUUAAUUCUUCUCAACCAAGUUUAAGUUCCAGAGGUGAUUCAUCCUGUCUUAUAGAUGUGUUUGAUGUGGAGUCACUUAAAUAUGACCCCGGAGAAAGAAUAACUAUUGAUAAAUAUAGCCCUAGGAUACAAGAUGAUGUGAGAAGACACUAUAUUUAGAAAGCGCAUUGCCAGCCAGUUGGUCCUGCUCAUACAUUCCCUCAAACUUUAAUCGGGACAAAAAAUCGUUAAUUUGUUCCAGCGUGGUCCGAGGAUUCAUAUUCUAGGUGGACGGGGUAUAGUGUGAAGAAAGAUGCUGCAUUUUUCUUAUGUUUCUAUUUAUUCAAAAAUAACUGUGUAAAGGGAAGGGUAGGUGGUUCUUUCACGAAAGUCGAUUUUAGACUUGGAACAGAAGUUUGGAAAGAUUUACUUUACAUGUUGGUGAAGUAAAUAGCAUCAUAAUAGGUGUUUCAACAAGAUGCUAGAUUUGGAAAAAUCAAUCUCAAUCGAUUCGAGUUGCUUUUGACAAACAAUUUAAGGAAGACAAAAGUGAGCAACGAGUUCAUGUGUGGCAAGGUUCCUCUUGGAAUUCGGAUUGUCUUUUCGAGGUCAUGAUGAAUCUUCAAAAAGCAAAGGCUUUUUUCUAGGGCUUUUGGAAUGGUUUGCAAAAAUGCUUCUAGAUAUGGAUAGUGUCAUAUUAAAAAAUGCUUCAAACAAUGCCAUGUUGACUUCUUCAAAAAUUCAACAAGAGAUUGUGAUUGGUUGUGCACAAAAAACUGUGAAAGCUAUAAUUGAUGACUUGGAUGGAUAGUUGAUGAGUCCAAGGGCAUCUUGAACAAAUGGACCUUGCUUUGCGGUAUGUUAACAAAAAAAGACGAAGUGAAUGAGCCAGUCAUUGCUAUUGUUCGUGUUGGUGAUACAUCGGCACAAUCAUUGAAGGAACAAUAUGUUCUUUGCUUAUGAGUCACUCUUUAAGUACAUUCAAAAUACAUGGACAAGGUUAUGAUGGAGCUAGUAAUAUGAAGGGACACAUGAAUGAUCUUAAUGCUUUGAUUUUGUAGGAAACUCCAUCGGCAUAUUGCAUUCACUGUUUUGCUCACUAAUUACAAUUGGCUCUUGUAGCUGUUGCCAAAAAAUAUUUGCUUGUGAAAUAUUUCUUUGGUAUUAUUGAUAACGGGUUGAAUGUGGUUGGAGAAUCAUUUAAGCGUAGAGAUCAACUUCGGGACCAUCAAGCAGAAAUAUUGAGGCAACUUCUAGAGAGUGGUGAAGUUCAAAGUGGGAAGGGUUUAAAUCAAGAGCGAGGGCUUCAAAGACCAGGUGACACUUGUUGGGGAUCUCAUUUUAGAACAUUGGAUAACUUUGUUAUUUUUAUUUUCAUCUAUAGCUCAUGUGCUUGAUGCGAUUAAAUCUGGAGGUUCUAACAUUGGUGAGAGAUCGCAAGCAGGAGAUUUUUUUAGUAUGAUCAAUGAAUUUGAAUUUGUUUUCUUACUUCACUUGAUGUUGAAAAUAUUGGUGAUGUCGAAUGAGCUCAGCGCAUCUUUACAGAGGAAAGAUCAAGAUAUUGUCAAUGCCAUGAUACUUCUUGACAUUACUAAGGAAAGAUUGCACUCGAUGAGAGUCGAUAGAUGAAAACCUUUGACGAAUGGUGUUUCCUCAUUUUGUGAUAAACAUGUUAUUUCGGUACCUAAGAUGGACGAAUUUAUAUCCAUGGAAAGUCAAAGCGUAGACCUAGUAGUGUUACUUUACAUCACUUACAUGUUGAUCACUUUUAUGCUAUAAUUGACUUGUAACUUCAGGGGCUUAACAAUUGUUUUGAUGUUGUGAGUGGUAAAUUUCUCUUAGUAUGGCAAGCUUGAAUGCGGCUAAUGGUUUUGCUAAUUUUGAUAAGGAAAGAAUAAUAACAUUGGCCAAGCAUUAUCCAGAUGAGUUUGGUGGAUUGAAGCUUCGACAUCUCAGUUACAAACUUGAUACUUUCAUAAUCCUCAUAGGAUGUGGUGAUCCUAGAUUCUCUAAUUUGAAAGGAAUUGGUGAUUUGGCAGAAGCGUUAGUUAAUGCAAAUCUUGUGGAGACUUAUUCUCUUAUGUACAUACUUGUGAAGUGACAUUGAUUUUACCUAUCGCUACGACAACUGUAGAAAGAGGAUUCUCAUCAUGAAGCAUAUCAAGAAUGAACUGUGUAAUAGUAUUGGUGAUGAAUUGUUAAAUAAUUGUUUAGUUUGUUAAAUCAAGAAGGACAAAUUUGUAAUAUAAGCAACGAUACUAUCAUUGACCAUUUUCAAAAAAUGAAAGCGCGCGUCGAUAUCAAGUAUGAAUGGAUGAUCUACUUU